rnacentral:rRNA from 1 species
UACGUAGGCAGCAAGCGUUGUUCGGAAUUACUGGGCGUAAAGAGUGUGUAGGCGGUGUUCUAAGUUUGUCGUGAAAUCUCCCGGCUUAACUGGGAGGGUGCGGCGAAAACUGGAAUGCUAGAGGAUGGGAGAGGUAAGCGGAAUUCCUGGUGUAGCGGUGAAAUGCGUAGAUAUCUGGAGGAACACCGGUGGCGAAGGCGGCAUCCUGGACCAACACUGACACUGAGGAGCGAAAGCCAGGGGAGCAAACGGG